rnacentral:rRNA from 1 species
UUGGGAAUCUUGCGCAAUGGAGGAAACUCUGACGCAGCGACGCCGCGUGAGCGAAGAAGGCCUUCGGGUUGUAAAGCUCUGUCAGAAGGGAAGAACACAUAGAUUUAAUAAAUCGGUGUUGACGGUACCUUCAGAGGAAGCACCGGCUAACCCUGUGCCAGCAGCCGCGGUAAUACAGGGGGUGCAAGCGUUGUUCGGAAUCACUGGGCGUAAAGAGUUCGUAGGCGGACCAAUUAGUAUAGGGUUAAAUCCCGGGGCCUAACCCCGGACCUGCUCUGUAAACGGUUGGUCUAGAGUAUUGGAGAGGAUAGCGGAAUACCUGGUGUAGAGGUGAAAUUCGUAGAUAUCAGGUGGAACACCAGAGGCGAAGGCGGCUAUCUGGCCAAGCACUGACGCUAAAGAACGAAAGCAUGGGGAGCAAACAGG